rnacentral:rRNA from 1 species
GUAUUUUGGAAAAUGGGCGAAAGCCUGACAGCCCCAUCGCGCGUGUGUGAAGGAGGUCUUUGGAUUGUAACGCCCUUUAAGUUGGGGGGGAGGGCAGUAAGCGAAUACCUUGCUCUUUGGAGGUUAACGCCAGAAUAAGCACCGACAAACUCUGUGCCAUCAGCCGCGGGAACACAUGGGGGGCAAGCGUUAAUCGGAAUUACGGGGCGUAAAGCGCGCGUAGGGGGUUAAGUAAGUUAGAUGUGAAAUCCCCGGGCUCAACCUGGGAACUGCAUCCAAAACUGGGGGGCGAGAGUAGGGGAGAGGAUGGUGGAAUUUCCUGUGUAGCGGUGAAAUGCGUAGAGAUAGGGAGGAACACCAGUGGCGAAGGCGACCACCUGGGCUAAUACUGACACUGAGGUGCGAAAGCGUGGGGAGCAAACA